CUCGCUGUUUUCCCAAUCGCGAAGGCAUGUUUUUGACCAUGCCAAUGGUUAUGGCUCGGACACUGAGGCCAUCUGUGGCGGCCAUAUUUGUUUUCAAUUUUGGGGCAUAGGCAAGCCCUUUAGCCCCUACCUUCUUCUUGCUUCCCUGUCAGUUGAAGCGUGGGUUUUGAGAGUAAGGACGCCAUUUAAAUUCGUUGGUUUUUAAAGAGUCAACUAGUUUCAUGUAAAUUUGUGUUUGAACAAUAGCUAUCAGAUAAUGUUGCUCAAUAAUAUUUGGGGUAACUAUUUGUUCGUCUGCAGGGAGUGCAGGCCGUGUGCAAUUGGACAUUGGACUGAUUGUCGGAGUGCAAAGUGCCAACCGCCUAGAUUUUGUCAGACUGAAUGAAAAUCUCCUUACAAUUAAAAUAACAACACGGUUAAUGAGGAUUUGUUGUUUGUAAAUUGUUAGCUGCUGUCACCUCUGGUUUUAGUUCAUUUGUGUUUCUUGAUUUGAGGUUAAUCCCUCAAAGCUGUGUUGUGGACUGGUUUCUUACAGCACUAUUUGUUGCGUGCCUGAGAUCGCAAGUAGGCCGCCUACGUCAAUAAUCUAAAACACAGUGUGUUUAUUAAGUGGUCCUGGCACGGAGAUCCUUGAGUCAAUGCUGGCCUUUGUCCAUGAGAGAAGAGUGACUUUACGCCCUGUAACUACCCAACAAGAAGUCGCUGGGCACUCGCAGUCAAGAGGAACUACGCAACCUUCCACGGCAGUUGCAGACCCCCCAAGAUCAAUCCUGGUCGUUCCUUGAGCCCGAUGAAAAGCAAGUCCCUGACUAUUAUCAGAUCUUCAAGGAUUGCAUGGUCUUUGGUUGAGACCCGGAUUGCAGAGAGACGUUAUCAAUGACUUGUGAAGUUUAUUAUCCACAUCGCCAAGAUUACCCCUUUAUUUAAUAUUGGGACAAAUAUCAUCCGCCGUCUGCUUUAUUCUCUUUACUUUGUGGAUGAUGGAGAAAGAGUCGUACACUCGUACGUUAAACUGUUUAAAAUUAAAUUUAGAUUUCAACCUGCAGACGGACCGGCCAGUUAGCAUGUCCUUCACGCUUGAAGGUCGAGGGAAACAUUGUGUAAAACUGUCAACGCGGUGGUGUAGAGGUUGGGUGAGCUGGACGUGUUGCAUCAUUUUCAGCAGACCCAACCCCAGCAACGUCAACCUAAAGAAGGAAAGGCCAGUUUGCAUUUCCUUCACUUUAGAAGGCCACGGUGAUCAUUACGUAAAACUGUCAAUGCGGUGGUGUAGAGGUUGGGUGAGGAGUGAGGACGACACGUGUAACAUCAUUAUCAAGAGAGAGAAAAGUCGACAAGGAUCAGUCGAACGAGUAUCUCCGACACGGUAACAACUUCAGCGCACUAUUGGUCACCAGCUGCAUUCUUCAUCGUGUCAUCAGUUCGCAAUCAUAAUAAACUAUGGCGUUGUGCUACUGUUGGGCGUUGAAUCGCUGACGGUUGUGUCGACCACUGGUGUACCGAUGUCUCCUGGUCAUAUCGAAGCACAACAUUGCUGUCUUAAUACUCAUCAUCAACCAAUGCUGCUCCAGCUUACACCACCAAGGCUUCAGAGUAUUACAAGUUGCAUUAAAGGAGAGAAAAGGUUUUUCCGACACGACAACAACUUCCGCGCACAAUUUGUCACCAACUGCCUUCUUCAUCGUAUAAAGCGUAAACUGUGGUGUCGUGCUGCUGUUGGUUGCUGUCCUGAAAUACUACACCACCGAGGCUUCGGAGUAUUAUACUACAAUUUAUGCUGCCGCGAGAUGCAUCACUGAAGAGACCGAGUACUACAUGACCCACCCCCAGCAACGUCCAAUUUGCAUGUCCUUCACGCUUGAAGGUCGCGGAGAUCAUUACGAAAAUUUGUCAAUGCGGUGGUGUAAGGUUGGGUGAGAACAGAAAGUGUUUGCUUUAUUAUCGAGCAGGUAUAAUAGUCGUAGGGCUUAAGAGAGGGGUCAGGGUGAGAAAAAUUCGUAUAAAUGGCAAGAGAAAAGUCGAUAGGGAUCAGUCGAGUGAAUACCUCCAUCACGGCAACAACUGCAGCCCACUACUAUUUGUCACCAACUGCCUUCUUCAUUGUACAACCAGUUCGCAAUCAUAGUUAACUCUGGCGCCGUGCUGCUGUUUGGUGUUGUAUCGUUGAAGGUUGGGUCGACCACGGGUUUACUGAUGUCUUCUGGUCAUGGUGGAGACCAAGCAACAGCAGUGACAGAAUACUACACCACGCCGUCGCCUUACUACGAAACGAAGUCAACAUACGCAACAUCUACUAACAACACCGAGGCCCCCCCCCCCCCAAGUGCACACCACCAAUGCUCAAGAGUUACGCUACAAAUUACGCUGCCCCGAGUUACAUCACCAAAGCGCCUGAGUACUACAUCACCGAGGCACUGCAACUGAGGCGGCGAAGUACUACGUAGCCCAAGCUUACAACACUGCAGCUGCUCCUUCAUACUACGUUGAACUGAAACUUCACCAAGGCUGCAGUUAACUACACCACAACCUACGCUACACCUAGCUACUAUGACGAAGCCCCAAACUACUACACCGAAGAGGCCACAUGUUACACAUCAACGUACAGUGCCCCAGUUUACUACACCGAGGAACCCAAGUAUUACUCUGCUCCAAGCUACUACCAAACUGAGGCUCCUGUUUGCUAUACCAAGGCCACCGAGUAUUACACUACAACCAAACGUUAACUAUGGGGUCGUACUGCUGUUGGUUGUAUUAUCCUUGAUGGCUGGGUUGACCACUGGUGAACCGAUGUCUCCUGGGUAUGGCGGAUACCAAACCGCAACGCCGGCGUCAUACCACAAAACAACAUACGCAGCAAUCGGAUACUACACCCCCAAAGCCCUAGAGUAUUACACCAUAAAUUAUUAUGUCCCGAACUUCUACACCGAAGCUUCAAAGUUAAACUCAGCCCCGAGUUAAACCACCAAGGCAGCGGAGUACUACACCACCAAGGCAGCGGAGUACUACACCACCAAGGCAGCGGAGUACUACACCACCAAGGCAGCGGAGUACUACACCACCAAGGCAGCGGAGUACUACACCACCAAGGCAGCGGAGUACUACACCACCAAGGCAGCGGAGUACUACACCACCAAGGCAGCGGAGUACUACACCACCAAGGCAGCGGAGUACUACACCACCAAGGCAGCGGAGUACUACACCACCAAGGCAGCGGAGUACUACACCACCAAGGCAGCGGAGUACUACACCACCAAGGCAGCGGAGUACUACACCACUUCGUAUGCUGCCCAGCCUCUUACACCGAGACUCUUAAGUACUACUCCGUUCCCAGCUACUAUUCCGAUGCUCCAGCUUAUUACGCCACUAAAGCGGUCAAAUGCUACACCGGAAAUACUUCUCUGCCCAGAAUUACUACACAGCGGCUGUUCCUUCGUACUACGUUGAGCAGAAACACUGCACUGAGGCUCAAGUUUACUACACUACAACUUACGCUACACCUAGGUACUACACCGAAGUCCCUAAGUACUACACCAAAGAGGCUGCAUAUUACACAACUCACGCUGCUCUCAGCUGCUACACUGAAGCUCUCAAGUACCACUCUACCAAGGGACCUGAGUAUUAUACCAUUACUUACGCUGAUCUGACCUGCUACACCGAAGAUCCGAAGUAUUCUACUGCCCGACUUACUACACCACUAAGGCACCUGGAUAUUACGUCACAACCUAUGCUUCUCCAGUUUACUACAGGGAGGUUCUUAAAUUCUAGAGCCGAAAUUUAUGUUUUGUUUAAAUUUGUUCAGAUUUCUCGGCUAUGUCAAAAUAGUAACUAGUCACUUGGAAUGAUGUUGAUCACUUAAAUGAGCGAAUACAUUUUUUAAUGGUAAA
rnacentral:lncRNA from 1 species